AUUAAAUACAAAUGCAACAGAAUAGAUUAACAAAGAGUCAUUCAUUUAUUCCUUUUCAAGAUUAUUUUAGGGAUUAAUUUCACCAAUAUAUAUAUAUAUAUUAUUAUUGUUUACUCACACCAUGAUGAAUUAGGCAAGGCGAGGCAAGGCAACUUUAUUUAUAUAGCACUUUUCAUACACAAGGCAGACUCAAAGUGCUUCACAUAUAAACAUUGUAAUACAAUAAAAUAAAAUAAUAGAUAAGUAAAAGAAAAACAUAUGCAAAGAAAUGGGUAAAAUAGAAAAAGGCAUUUUAGUAUUAAAAUAGAAAAUAAAGGCAAAGUUAAAAAGCUUUUUAGAAAGUGCAAUGUAUUUAAGAUUUAGCAGAAAGCUAUAGCAAACAUAAAAGUCUUCAGUCUUGUUUUAAAGGUGGUCAGAGUUGGGUUAAGUCUUAAAUCCUCUGGGAGUUUAUUCCAGCUAUUUGUUGCAUAGUAACUAAAUCCUGCUUUCCCAUUUAGUAUAUCUUCAAAGGUAGUUUGAGUAACUACCAACCCAUUAUCCCUCUCCCGCUCCUUAUGGCUUGCCUUGCUCCGCCCCUGCCUCGAGCACCAGGGCACUAGGCUGUCCGACAGCCAGAAGUGAGACAACGGCGCCUUGGUCCAUCCAAAGAGACUGUCCCUGAUAUUAGUGGCCCCGGAGAACCGUGCAGCUCUGUGGUUUCCAGAGCUUGCCGCGCUCUCGCGGUCGGCGCCUUGGCCAGUACCAUUCAGGCCGGAUGCGCUUUCACAGGCCCACGGGACGGUGCACCUCCCGCCCGAUGUCUCGGGACGGCUGUUGGUUUGGCUCCUGAGAGGUUGAUCCUGCAGGGCAAAGGUUUGCCUGAGACGGUUAUCAACACUAUUCAGAGUGCUCGUGCGCCUUCUACUUCUUCCCUCUAUGCGGCGAAGUGGUGCGCCUUCUCUAAUUGGUGUGAGACGAACCACGCUGUCCCAUCUCAAUGCGAGGUGGGAAGCGUGCUUUCGUUUCUGCAAAACUUAUUGGAAAAAGGUUUGGCCUUCUCCACUAUCAAGGUUCAUGCGGCAGCCGUUUCGGCUGGCCAUGCAGGCUGUGAUGGUGGACCGAUCUUCAGCCAUCCACUGGUCAAGAGAUUCUUGCGUGGGGCUAGACGGGUUAGGCCUGUUUCACGCGUGCUUACACCACGCUGGGAUCUCCCCACCGUGUUGCGCGGAUUGUCCAGGGAUCCUUUCGAGCCUCUCUCCCAGGCCCCUUUGGAUGCCCUGUCAUUCAAAACGGCGCUCUUGUUGGCCUUGGUUUCUGCCAAGCGGGCCGGUGAGCUAACCGCUCUGUCUGUCAGCCCGAGUUGCUUGUUGCUAAACGAGGACAGCUCCUUCGCGUUGCUCAGACCUAAUCCUGCGUUCCUC
ensembl:lncRNA